CCUACGGGAGGCAGCAGUGGGGAAUAUUGCACAAUGGGGGAAACCCUGAUGCAGCGACGCCGCGUGAGCGAAGAAGGAUUUCGGUAUGUAAAGCUCUAUCAGCAGGGAAGAAAAGGACGGUACCUGAGUAAGAAGCUACGGCAAAAUACGUGCCAGCAGCCGCGGUAAUACGGAGGAUGCGCGCGUUAUCCGGAUUUAUUGGGUUAAAGGGGUGCGUAGGCGGACUGUUAAGUCAGCGGUAAAAGCCCGGGGCUCAACCCCGGCGAGCCGUUGAAAAUGGCUGUCUUGAGAUGUCGAGAGGUAUGCGGAAUGCGCAGUGUAGCGGUGAAAUGCUUAGAUAUUGCGCAGAACUCCGAUUGCGAAGGCAGCAUACCGGCGGCGAUCUGACGCUGAGGCACGAAAGCGUGGGUAUCGAACAGGAUUAGAUACCCUGGUAGUC
rnacentral:rRNA from 1 species